UUGCUAAUUUUUCAAUCAACUCCUUGGAAAAAGCUCUGAGAAAUUAGUUUCAUUUUUACAGUAAAAAAUUCAGAUUCGAUUUUGAGAUUCUUAAGAGGAAGAUGCAUCUAUGGCCAUCAAUAAAGAUCAGAGAAUCAUUCACAGUAGAUAACCUAUGGAAAAUUAGAAAAGUGAAUAGUGAUAAAAAGAAUAAAGAAUCUACACUCAAGAAGAAAUUACUAGACAAUGAAGUAAAUGGGCAAGAACAAGAAGAUGGAGGAGUAUCUUCUUCAGAUAACAAGAACAAGUUCAGUGGAUUCUUAACAUAUCUCAGGGAUUUAAUUUGUAGCUGCUUUUGUGCUUAGUGAUUUCAAGGAAGGAGAAUGUUUAUUUGGAAGCCAAUCGGAGUUAUGAUGUGCUUUUAUGACUGGGACUUUGCAGGAACAUGGUUCUUAUGCUUAACUUGAUAACACUUUGUAUUGGAAUGCCCUUCCCUAGUUUGAAAAUGUUUUGUUUUCUA